rnacentral:rRNA from 1 species
UACGUAGGGGGCUAGCGUUGUUCGGAAUCACUGGGCGUAAAGCGCACGUAGGCGGACUCUUAAGUCGGUGGUGAAAUCCUGGAGCUCAACUCCAGAACUGCCUUCGAUACUGAGAGUCUUGAGUCCGGGAGAGGUGAGUGGAACUGCGAGUGUAGAGGUGAAAUUCGUAGAUAUUCGCAAGAACACCAGUGGCGAAGGCGGCUCACUGGCCCGGUACUGACGCUGAGGUGCGAAAGCGUGGGGAGCAAACAGG